rnacentral:tRNA from 1 species
GGGGAUAUAUCUCAGUGGUAGAGUGCUUGCCUAGUAUGCAUGAGGCCUUGGGUUCGAUCUCCAGCAUCACCC